rnacentral:lncRNA from 1 species
AUGAAUUAGCAAAAUAACAGAUUAAUACAAAAAGAGUGUGUGGUACUGAGAGUUGAAUCUAAGGCCUUUUGUAUGUUAAGUAUGUGCUCUGCCACUGAGCCACAUACAUGCUUACCUCCAACUGUAUGAAUAAUUAUACUAAUAAUAAAUCGUGUAAAACAAUUAAAAUUCAGGGACUGUCAGGUUGAAUAAAAAAGCAAGCUCUGACUAUGCGAUGCUCUAAAGAAACAGACUUUAAAUGCAGACACAUCAGUAAGUUAAAAAAAUGUAAAAAAUACAUUUAUAUAAUAGAAACAAAAAAACCUGACCAGAAAAUUACAGGAAAAUAAAACUUCAAACCAAUAUCAUCCAUGAAUAUAGACACAAAAAUUAUUCCCAAUACUUUAGUAAAUUAAAUUCAACACUAGAUAAAGGAUUAACUUUAUAGCCAAGUAGGUCUUACCCCAGAAUGCAAGAUUGGUGUAAUGUGAAAAUCAGUCAGUGUAAUACACAAUAUUAGCAGAAUAAAAAAGAAAAAACUGUAUCCCAAAAUAGAAAGGGAAAUUGUUUUUGACAAAAUUAACUACUUAUGAUAAAAUUUUCAGCAAAGUUCCUUUGUCUUUUAAAUGGAAAAACCUACGAAAAAAAAUCACAGACUUAGUGGUAAAAGACCGAAUGUUUCCCACUUAAGAGUAGGAGUAAGAAUGUCUACUCAAAACUAUUUUUGGUCAGUAUUGUGCUAGAAGUCCAGUUAGUUUAGUAAGAAAAAGAAAGAAAACACAUUCAGAUUAGAAAGGAAGAAGUUAAAACUGUCUUUAUUUUGUAUGACAUGAACACCUAUAUAGAAAAUUUUCAAGAAUCUAUGAAAAUCUACUAGAAAUAAUAAACGAAUCUAAAAAUAUCAAUAGAGUGCAAAACCAAUAUGUAAAAAUUAAUUAUCACUAUCUGAUAGCAGUGAACAAUUAGAAGUCAAAAUAAAAUAUACAUUUAUAAGAGCAUCCCCAAACAGGAAUUCUUUAGGAUUAAACAAAAUAUGUUCUAGAUUUAUACUCUAAACACUGCAGAAUACUGGAGAAGGAUACUAAUUCCAUUGAUCAGAAGACUUGUUAUUGUUAAGAUUUAAGCUCUUCCCAAAGCAAUGUGACUCAAUGCAAUUGCAGUCAAAAUACCAAUUUUUUAUUUUUGGUAGAAAUUAAUAAACUGACUAUUGGGCAUGGUAACGCACACUUGCAAUCCCAGAGUCUAGAGAGGCUGGGGAUCCCAAGUUCAAAGUCAGUCUCAGUAACUUAAGGAGGCACUAAGGAACUCAGUGAGUCCCUCUCUCCAAAUAAAAUACAAAAAAAAAAGAAGAAGAAAGAAAACAAUUAAUAAACUGAUUUUAAAUUUACAUGGAAAAUCACAGCAACAAGAACAGCCAAAACAAGUUUGAAGGAGGACAAAUUUGGAGGACUUUAUUACUGUAUCAAAUAGUGUAGUGUUCAGAUAAGGAUAGACACAGAUCAGUGGAAGAGAAUGCAGGUCUAGAAAUAGACCCACAGAUACAAAGUCAAUUGAUUUUUCAGGAAAAUGCCAAGAUAAUUCAGUAGAGAAAGGAUAGC